rnacentral:rRNA from 1 species
AGCUGGCGGUGUGCUUCACACAUGCAAGUCGAACGAGGUAGCAAUACCUAGUGGCGGACGGGUGAGUAACGCGUGGGAAUCUGCCUUUAGAUGGGGGAUAACGGGUCGAAAGACUCGCUAAUACCGCAUAUGACGAAAGUUGAAAGGAGUAAUCCGUCUAAAGAUGAGCCCGCGUCCGAUUAGCUAGUUGGUAGAGUAAAAAGCCUACCAAGGCGACGAUCGGUAGCUGGUCUGAGAGGAUGAUCAGCCACAAUGGGACUGAGACACGGCCCAUACUCCUACGGGAGGCAGCAGUGGGGAAUUUUACGCAAUGGGCGAAAGCCUGACGUAGCGACACCGCGUGAGCGAAGAAGCCCCUUGGGGUGUAAAGCUCUGUCAGCUGGAACGAAAAAAAUGACGGUACCAGCAGAGGAAGCAUCGGCUAACUACGUG